rnacentral:rRNA from 1 species
UACGUAGGUGCCGAGCGUUAUCCGGAUUUAUUGGGCGUAAAGCGAGCGCAGGCGGUUAGAUAAGUCUGCAGUGAAAGGCCGUGGCUUAACCAGAGUAUGCUUUGGAAACUGUUUAACUUGAGUGCAGAAGGGGAGAGUGGAAUUCCAUGUGUAGCGGUGAAAUGCGUAGAUAUAUGGAGGAACACCGGUGGCGAAAGCGGCUCUCUGGCUUGUAACUGACGCUGAGGCUCGAAAGCGUGGGGAGCAAACAGG